GAUGAAGAACGCAGCGAAAUGCGAUACGUAAUGUGAAUUGCAGAAUUCAGUGAAUCAUCGAAUCUUUGAACGCAUAUUGCGCUCUCUGGUAUUCCGGAGAGCAUGCUUGUUUGAGUAUCAGUAAACACCUCAACUCCCUUUUCUUUUUUGAAAUGGGAGCUGGACUUGAGUGAUCCCAACACUUUUCUCACUGGAAAGUGGCGGGUCACUUGAAAUGCAGGUGCAGCUGGACUUUUCUCUGAGCUAUAAGCAUAUCUAUUUAGUCUGCCUAAAAAACAGAUUAUUACCUAUGCUGCAGCUAACAUAAAGGAGAUGAGUUCUUGUGCUGACUGAUGCAGGAUUCACAGAGACAGCUUUGCGGCUGACUUUGUAAACUCGAUCUCAAAUCAAGUAAGACUACCCGCUGAACUUAAGCAUAUCAAUAAGCGGAGGA
rnacentral:misc_RNA from 1 species